rnacentral:rRNA from 1 species
CUGCUGCCUCCCGUAGGAGUCUGGGCCGUGUCUCAGUCCCAGUGUGGCCGUCCGCCCUCUCAGGCCGGCUACUGAUCGUCGCUUUGGUAGGCCGUUACCCUGCCAACUGGCUAAUCAGACGCGGGCCCAUCCUGUACCACCGGAGUUUUCAGGAAAAGCCAUGCGGCUUCUCCCGUUAUGCGGUAUUAGCACCUAUUUCUAAGUGUUAUCCCCUGUACAGGCCAGGUUGCCCACGCGUUACUCACCCGUCCGCCACUCA